CAGUAGCCACGGUAAUACGUAGGGUCCGAGCGUUGUCCGGAAUUAUUGGGCGUAAAGAGCUCGUAGGCGGUCUGUCGCGUCUGGUGUGAAAUCCCGAGGCUCAACCUCGGGCUUGCAUCGGGUACGGGCAGACUAGAGUGCGGUAGGGGAGACUGGAAUUCCUGGUGUAGCGGUGGAAUGCGCAGAUAUCAGGAGGAACACCGAUGGCGAAGGCAGGUCUCUGGGCCGCAACUGACGCUGAGGAGCGAAAGCAUGGGGAGCGAACAGGAUUAGAUACCCCAGUAGUCCCUGUCUCUUAUAA
rnacentral:rRNA from 1 species